UGGGCCGCUAUCAUGCAAGUUGAGCGAUGAAGAUUGGUGCUUGCACCAAUUUGAAGAGCAGCGAACGGGUGAGUAACGCGUGGGGAAUCUGCCUUUGAGCGGGGGACAACAUUUGGAAACGAAUGCUAAUACCGCAUAAUAACUUUAAACAUAAGUUUUAAGUUUGAAAGAUGCAAUUGCAUCACUCAAAGAUGAUCCCGCGUUGUAUUAGCUAGUUGGUGAGGUAAAGGCUCACCAAGGCGAUGAUACAUAGCCGACCUGAGAGGGUGAUCGGCCACAUUGGGACUGAGACACGGCCCAAACUCCUACGGGAGGCAGCAGUAGGGAAUCUUCGGCAAUGGACGAAAGUCUGACCGAGCAACGCCGCGUGAGUGAAGAAGGUUUUCGGAUCGUAAAACUCUGUUGGUAGAGAAGAACGUUGGUGAGAGUGGAAAGCUCAUCAAGUGACGGUAACUACCCAGAAAGGGACGGCUAACUACGUGCCAGCAGCCGCGGUAAUACGUAGGUCCCGAGCGUUGUCCGGAUUUAUUGGGCGUAAAGCGAGCGCAGGUGGUUUAUUAAGUCUGGUGUAAAAGGCAGUGGCUCAACCAUUGUAUGCAUUGGAAACUGGUAGACUUGAGUGCAGGAGAGGAGAGUGGAAUUCCAUGUGUAGCGGUGAAAUGCGUAGAUAUAUGGAGGAACACCGGUGGCGAAAGCGGCUCUCUGGCCUGUAACUGACACUGAGGCUCGAAAGCGUGGGGAGCAAACAGGAUUAGAUACCCUGGUAGUCCACGCCGUAAACGAUGAGUGCUAGAUGUAGGGAGCUAUAAGUUCUCUGUAUCGCAGCUAACGGCAUAAGCACUCCGCCUGGGGAGUACGACCGCAAGGUUGAAACUC
rnacentral:rRNA from 1 species